rnacentral:rRNA from 1 species
CUAUCAUGCAAGUUCGAGCGAACAGAUGAGAAGCUUGCUUCUCUGAUGUUAGCGGCGGACGGGUGAGUAACACGUGGGUAACCUACCUAUAAGACUGGGAUAACUCCGGGAAACCGGGGCUAAUACCGGAUAAUAUUUUGAACCGCAUGGUUCAAUAGUGAAAGACGGUUUCGGCUGUCACUUAUAGAUGGACCCGCGCCGUAUUAGCUAGUUGGUAAGGUAACGGCUUACCAAGGCGACGAUACGUAGCCGACCUGAGAGGGUGAUCGGCCACACUGGAACUGAGACACGGUCCAGACUCCUACGGGAGGCAGCAGUAGGGAAUCUUCCGCAAUGGGCGAAAGCCUGACGGAGCAACGCCGCGUGAGUGAUGAAGGUCUUCGGAUCGUAAAACUCUGUUGUUAGGGAAGAACAAAUUUGUUAGUAACUGAACAAGUCUUGACGGUACCUAACCAGAAAGCCACGGCUAACUACGUGCCAGCAGCCGCGGUAAUACGUAGGUGGCAAGCGUUAUCCGGAAUUAUUGGGCGUAAAGCGCGCGUAGGCGGUUUCUUAAGUCUGAUGUGAAAGCCCACGGCUCAACCGUGGAGGGUCAUUGGAAACUGGGAAACUUGAGUGCAGAAGAGGAGAGUGGAAUUCCAUGUGUAGCGGUGAAAUGCGCAGAGAUAUGGAGGAACACCAGUGGCGAAGGCGGCUCUCUGGUCUGUAACUGACGCUGAUGUGCGAAAGCGUGGGGAUCAAACAGGAUUAGAUACCCUGGUAGUCCACGCCGUAAACGAUGAGUGCUAAGUGUUAGGGGGUUUCCGCCCCUUAGUGCUGCAGCUAACGCAUUAAGCACUCCGCCUGGGGAGUACGACCGCAAGGUUGAAACUCAAAGGAAUUGACGGGGACCCGCACAAGCGGUGGAGCAUGUGGUUUAAUUCGAAGCAACGCGAAGAACCUUACCAAAUCUUGACAUCCUUUGACCGCUCUAGAGAUAGAGUCUUCCCCUUCGGGGGACAAAGUGACAGGUGGUGCAUGGUUGUCGUCAGCUCGUGUCGUGAGAUGUUGGGUUAAGUCCCGCAACGAGCGCAACCCUUAAGCUUAGUUGCCAUCAUUAAGUUGGGCACUCUAGGUUGACUGCCGGUGACAAACCGGAGGAAGGUGGGGAUGACGUCAAAUCAUCAUGCCCCUUAUGAUUUGGGCUACACACGUGCUACAAUGGAUAAUACAAAGGGCAGCGAAUCCGCGAGGCCAAGCAAAUCCCAUAAAAUUAUUCUCAGUUCGGAUUGUAGUCUGCAACUCGACUACAUGAAGCUGGAAUCGCUAGUAAUCGUAGAUCAGCAUGCUACGGUGAAUACGUUCCCGGGUCUUGUACACACCGCCCGUCACACCACGAGAGUUUGUAACACCCGAAGCCGGUGGAGUAACCUU